AGGGUAGUAGCGCAGCCAGGUUAGCGCACUUGCUUUGGGAGCAAGGAGUCACAGGUUCGAAUCCUGUUUACCCUA
rnacentral:tRNA from 1 species